rnacentral:rRNA from 1 species
AGUGAACGCUGGCGGUAGGCCUAACACAUGCAAGUCGAACGGCAGCACAGUAAGAGCUUGCUCUUACGGGUGGCGAGUGGCGGACGGGUGAGGAAUACAUCGGAAUCUACUUUUUCGUGGGGGAUAACGUAGGGAAACUUACGCUAAUACCGCAUACGACCUACGGGUGAAAGCAGGGGAUCUUCGGACCUUGCGCGAUUGAAUGAGCCGAUGUCAGAUUAGCUAGUUGGCGGGGUAAAGGCCCACCAAGGCGACGAUCCGUAGCUGGUCCGAGAGGAUGAUCAGCCACACUGGAACUGAGACACGGUCCAGACUCCUACGGGAGGCAGCAGUGGGGAAUAUUGGACAAUGGGCGCAAGCCUGAUCCAGCCAUACCGCGUGGGUGAAGAAGGCCUUCGGGUUGUAAAGCCCUUUUGUUGGGAAAGAAAAGCAGCAGGUUAAUACCCCGCUGUUCUGACGGUACCCAAAGAAUAAGCACCGGCUAACUUCGUG